CCUACGGGAGGCAGCAGUGGGGAAUAUUGCACAAUGGGGGAAACCCUGAUGCAGCGACGCCGCGUGAGUGAAGAAGUAUUUCGGUAUGUAAAGCUCUAUCAGCAGGGAAGAAGAAAGACGGUACCUGACUAAGAAGCCCCGGCUAACUACGUGCCAGCAGCCGCGGUACUACGUAGGGGGCAAGCGUUAUCCGGAUUUACUGGGUGUAAAGGGAGCGUAGACGGCUGUGCAAGUCUGAAGUGAAAGCCCAGGGCUCAACCCUGGGACUGCUUUGGAAACUGUGGAGCUAGAGUGCUGGAGAGGUAAGUGGAAUGCCUAGUGUAGCGGUGAAAUGCGUAGAGAUUAGGAGGAACACCAGUGGCGAAGGCGGCUUACUGGACAGUAACUGACGUUGAGGCUCGAAAGCGUGGGGAGCAAACAGGAUUAGAUACCCUAGUAGUC
rnacentral:rRNA from 1 species